GACGAACGCUGGCGGCGUGCCUAAUACAUGCAAGUAGAACGCACAGUUUAUACCGUAGCUUGCUACACCAUAAACUGUGAGUUGCGAACGGGUGAGUAACGCGUAGGUAACCUGCCUGGUAGCGGGGGAUAACUAUUGGAAACGAUAGCUAAUACCGCAUAAUAUUGAUUAUUGCAUGAUAAUUGAUUGAAAGAUGCUAUUGCAUCACUACCAGAUGGACCUGCGUUGUAUUGGCUAGUAGGUGAGGUAACGGCUCACCUAGGCGACGAUACAUAGCCGACCUGAGAGGGUGAUCGGCCACACUGGGACUGAGACACGGCCCAGACCCCUACGGGAGGCAGCAGUAGGGAAUCUUCGGAAAUGGACGAAAGUCUGACCGAGCAACGCCGCGUGAGUGAAGAAGGGUUUCGGAUCGUAAAGCUCUGUUGUAAGAGAAGAACGGGUGUGAGAGUGGAAAGUUCACACUGUGACGGUAUCUUACCAGAAAGGGACGGCUAACUACGUG
rnacentral:rRNA from 1 species